ACGAACGCUGGCGGCGUGCCUAACACAUGCAAGUCGAACGGUCCGGCACUCAACCGACCCUCAGUCUAGCUGUAGGUGAGGUUAAGUGCCGGAUAGUGGCGGACGGGUGAGUAACACGUGGAUAAUCUACCUGCAACACCGGGAUAACGCUGUGAAAACGGUGCUAAUACCGGAUACGUUCCCUUGUGCGCAUGUAUGAGGGAAGAAAGCUCAGGCGGUUGCAGAUGAGUCCGCGGCUGAUUAGCUAGUUGGUGAGGUAAAGGCUCACCAAGGCGAUGAUCAGUAGCCGGCCUGAGAGGGUGAACGGCCACACUGGGACUGAGACACGGCCCAGACUCCUACGGGAGGCAGCAGUGGGGAAUCUUCCGCAAUGGGCGCAAGCCUGACGGAGCAACGCCGCGUGGGUGAAGAAGGCCUUCGGGUUGUAAAGCCCUGUCUUAUGGGAAGAAGUCAGUGACGGUACCAUAGGAGGAAGCCACGGCUAACUACGUG
rnacentral:rRNA from 1 species